UCUGUGUUGCACAAGAUGCAUUCUUGUCAAAUUGACAACUAAAAAUUCUGGCAGCUGCCUUUUCGGUGCAUUUGCGUUUUGCUUCUAAAAUUUUCAAUUAUUUUGUUUUCCUCCAAAAUUUGCAAAAAUUCUUCGUAAAAUCAAAUUAACGUUACAGCAUCGUAAAAGAAAAUCGAAACAUAAACAACAAAUACAAACGGAAGGUCCCGGAAGUGUUUCAAUAGUUGCCAUUGGAGAAGUGGUUACAGCCAUAGAUAAAUCAACAAACGGAAUCGGUGACAUCCCCAACAUGGAUAAUACAAAUCUCAACCGAGUGCUAAAUCAAACCUUACGUCAUCCACUACAUGGGCUGCUUUUCAAAUACACCAAUGUCAUGAAAGGCUGGCAGUACCGUUGGUUCACGGUUGACGCGCAGACCGGCACACUUAGCUACUUUUUGUGUGACUCGUCCUCGUCGGGCGAUGAAGCAACGCCAUCAGCACAGGUUUUGGCUAGUGCGCCGCGAGGUCAAGUACAGCUGGCAGGUGCUGUAGUCUGCCCAAGUGACGAAGAUUCACGCACAUUUUCCAUAGGCUGUGCCUCUGGCGAUACGCUUAAAUUGCGUGCUGCCGAUGCACGUUCACGCCAAGAAUGGGUAGAUGGUUUGCGUGCAGUUGUAGAAAGUCAUACAAAAGCAAUGGACAUUAGCAAUUCAUCACCACUGCCGCCACGAGAGUUGCUGGCCGCCUCAGAUGCGAUGGUUUCGGCGAGACAAGCACUCUACCUAACCGAACAAUGCAUGUCUAUACAUUUGAAUCAUUACAGUAAUGCAACGUUAGCGCGUACAAUUGAGAAUAUCGAAUGUGAAACAUUUUCACCGACAGAUCCGGACUUGCUUUUGCUCAAAGCCAUUUCGACAGCUAGUACACAAUGUUUGCAUCAGUGCCUGAGUCUAUUACAACGACACGAAGAGAUACACAGUACAAGUGCUGCUGAAUCGGCGGGCGCUUGCUAAUUGGAGUACACAAAUUUACAUACAUAUUUGCUACAUUUGCUACAUUCGAAGAGAACUGGAAAUUCUUUCAUAGGAGCUUCCGUACGAAAUUUGAUGGAAUUAUUAAAUACACGCACACAUCCUAAGCUUAAAACGCAAAAAAUGUGUAUUUAAAUUGUCGACAUAAAUUAUUUGAUUAUGUAAAAAUAAACAACU
rnacentral:misc_RNA from 1 species